ensembl:lncRNA
AAAUAACACACUUUUCUGCAAAUGCAAAAAAGUAGCCAAUUCACACUAAGGCUGUUUGCUACAAGUCACAUCUCAUUAGGCCAACAACACAGGAUUUUUUAUUUAUUUAUCCAACUGGCCUCGUUCUGCUGGGUCACAUAACUGCACACGGCCAGCAAGGUCCUAUCUGACAGAGACGGGGGCAAGAUGUCAUGUCACCGGACGCACGCUGCAGAGUCUCUGCUGGCUGCAGCGUCAACAAGCCGUGUCCAUACAUUCAGAGGUCUCGCACGGGGGGGAACUUCUACUGCGGUCCAUCUGCUGGAAACAAAAGGUUUCUGGGGAUAUACAAAAUGAAAAACCUGAUUCACCCAGUAUUCUCUGGCACCUAGAUAACCAACCAUUCCAGGUCUGAUCCUCAGAUAUCUUCAUAUUGGGUGAAGCAACCUGUGGUAAGUGGGCUAUUAAGUCACAGAAGGUUCAGAACCCCCCGGGUUGGUGUCCAAGUAACAAGUGGUGGUUUUUCAGUCAGAGCGCUCUCCAUCAUCGCCUUUACCUCGACCCA